CCACAGAAGCAGACUUGCUGGGUCAAGAAGAGGAAUAGUGCAUCACUCUGCCCUCCAGAAGGCUGCUCCCAGGGACAGUUCCUACAGCGUCUUGACAGAAGCAGACGAAUGGGAGGUGGAAAGGAGUCCACUGGAAGGCUCUGAUGCGGCCUGCAGGUGGCCCAGCAGGCCUUGGAGAGGUCACUGUGGGUGUGGUGCUGGAGACUCUGGCAGAAACAGGAGCCAGAAGACUGUCUUCCGAGGUUGGAAGAAGAUGGUAGUAGACUCAUACUUCACUCCUAGACAUGACAACAUCCACCAGAAGAAAAAGAGACCAUGCCAAGUACCUCCCUGCUGGUUCAGCGAUGAAGAAUUUGCCUGCCAGUGCAGGGGAUACAGGGUUGAUCCCUGGUGUGGGAAGAUGCCACAUGCCUUGGAACAACUAAGCCCGUGCACCACCACUACUGAUCCCACGUGCCUAGAGCCCGUGCUCCUCAACGAGAGAAGCCAUUUCAAUGAGGAGCGCGAGCAUCACAACAAGUAGCCCCCACUAGCCGCUCCUAGGGAAAGCCUGUGCAGAGCAACGAAGACUCAGUGCA